rnacentral:rRNA from 1 species
GUGUCAGCCGCCGCGGUAAUACAGAGGUCCCAAGCGUUGUUCGGAUUCACUGGGCGUAAAGGGUGCGUAGGUGGUUGGGCAAGUCUGAUGUGAAAUCUCCGGGCUUAACCCGGAAAUGGCAUUGGAAACUGCCUGGCUAGAGUGUUGGAGGGGGGACUGGAAUUCUCGGUGUAGCAGUGAAAUGCGUAGAUAUCGAGAGGAACACCAGUGGCGAAGGCGAGUCCCUGGACAACGACUGACACUGAGGCACGAAAGCUAGGGGAGCAAACAGGAUUAGAUACCCUCGUAGUCC